UACGGGGGGGGCAAGCGUUGUUCGGAAUUACUGGGCGUAAAGGGCUCGUAGGCGGCCAACUAAGUCAGACGUGAAAUCCCUCGGCUUAACCGGGGAACUGCGUCUGAUACUGGAUGGCUUGAGUUUGGGAGAGGGAUGCGGAAUUCCAGGUGUAGCGGUGACAUGCGUAGAUAUCUGGAGGAACACCGGUGGCGAAGGCGGCAUCCUGGACCAACACUGACGCUGAGUGAGCGAAAGCCAGGGGAGCAAACGGG
rnacentral:rRNA from 1 species